CAAAGCAAGCAGCAAGUUGUCGAAAUUUGUUCAAAUUGUUCUUCUAUUUUGUCGAAUAUUUUUUAUAACAAGUGCAUUCAUUUAAAGUAAAGAAGUUAUCAAUGUAUGGAAAUUAUAAGGAAAUUGUUGGCGACGUGAAACAAUUAUGAUUUUCAGGACUUUAUCUGUACGUCUCUUUCCUGUGAUUCCAGACAAAAUUGGCGUUUUUGGUAAAGGAUGGUGACCUUUAAAGAAUAUUAUGACCACAAAGAAUGUUAUCGUGAGUCAUUUAAUUGCAUUUACGUAAGUUUUAUUACGAAAUUUAAUAUUCAUUGCAAAUGUGCG